rnacentral:rRNA from 1 species
CGUGCCAGCAGCCGCGGUAAUACGGAGGAUGCGAGCGUUAUCCGGAAUCAUUGGGUUUAAAGGGUCCGUAGGCGGGCUGGUAAGUCAGAGGUGAAAGCACUCAGCUCAACUGAGUAACUGCCUUUGAAACUGUCAGUCUUGAAUGGUUGUGAAGUAGUUGGAAUGUGUAGUGUAGCGGUGAAAUGCUUAGAUAUUACACAGAACACCGAUAGCGAAGGCAUAUUACUAACAAUUAAUUGACGCUGAUGGACGAAAGCGUGGGGAGCGAACAGGAUUAGAUACCCUGGUAGUCCACGCCGUAAACGAUG